AGGGUUAUGGGGGUCCAGAGCCGAUCUUGUCCGCUCUCGGAAGCUAAGCAGGGUCAGGCCGGGUUAGUACUUGGAUGGGAGACAUGUUAGGCUUUCUUCGUU
rnacentral:rRNA from 1 species